UAGGGAAUCUUCGGCAAUGGGGGGAACCCUGACCGAGCAACGCCGCGUGAGUGAAGAAGGAUUUCGGUUCGUAAAGCUCUGUUGUCAGCCACGAAUGUAUGUGAGAGUGGAAAGUUCACAUAGUGACGGUAACUGACCAGAAAGGGACGGCUAACUACGUGCCAGCAGCCGCGGUAAUACGUAGGUCCCGAGCGUUGUCCGGAUUUAUUGGGCGUAAAGCGAGCGCAGGCGGUUUGAUAAGUCUGAAGUAAAAGGCAUUGGCUCAACCAAUGUAUGCUUUGGAAACUGUUAGACUUGAGUGCAGAAGGGGAGAGUGGAAUUCCAUGUGUAGCGGUGAAAUGCGUAGAUAUAUGGAGGAACACCGGUGGCGAAAGCGGCUCUCUGGUCUGUAACUGACGCUGAGGCUCGAAAGCGUGGGUAGCGAACAG
rnacentral:rRNA from 1 species